GCAGGCUGCAACUCGCCUGCAUGAAGUCGGAAUUGCUAGUAAUCGUAGGUCAGCAUACUACGGUGAAUACGUUCCCGGGCCUUGUACACACCGCCCGUCAAACCAUGAGAGUUGGCAACACCCGAAGUCGGUAGUCUAACCGCAAGGAGGACGCCGCCGAAGGUGGGGUUGAUGAUUAGGGUUAAGUCGUAACAAGGUAUC
rnacentral:rRNA from 1 species